rnacentral:rRNA from 1 species
GACGAACGCUGGCGGCGUGCCUAAUACAUGCAAGUAGAACGCUGAAGGAGGAGCUUGCUUCUCUGGAUGAGUUGCGAACGGGUGAGUAACGCGUAGGUAACCUGCCUGGUAGCGGGGGAUAACUAUUGGAAACGAUAGCUAAUACCGCAUAAUAGUAGAUGUUGCAUGACAUUUGCUUAAAAGGUGCAAUUGCAUCACUACCAGAUGGACCUGCGUUGUAUUAGCUAGUUGGUGAGGUAACGGCUCACCAAGGCAACGAUACAUAGCCGACCUGAGAGGGUGAUCGGCCACACUGGGACUGAGACACGGCCCAGACUCCUACGGGAGGCAGCAGUAGGGAAUCUUCGGCAAUGGACGGAAGUCUGACCGAGCAACGCCGCGUGAGUGAAGAAGGUUUUCGGAUCGUAAAGCUCUGUUGUAAGAGAAGAACGAGUGUGAGAGUGGAAAGUUCGCACUGUGACGGUAUCUUACCAGAAAGGGACGGCUAACUACGUG